AUUUUAUGAACCGGGAACUAGCGAUUGGCUUAGAGCGUCAACUGACCACUCUAGCCAAUCAGCGGCACCCAUGCCUGACGUCAAUCUGCACUUCCUGACACUCUGUUUCAGAAGCCAAAUACCACUGAGUGACCUGGAGCUGGAGGAAGCCUUUGGGGUUAAACCAUUUGAGAGCGAUUUAACCCCUUAAAGGAAAACGAGCACCCAGGGGCUUCCUGGCAUCAUAGCAUUUUCAUUUAGGUGAAGUUGUUAUGGUGACCAGAAAUGUCCUUUAAUUUGCUUAAAGGAACACUAUAGUGUCAGUAAUACAAACAUAUAUUCCUGACACCAUAACUGUGAAAACGCUAUUCACCCUGGCUUUAUGUGAUAAUGGCUAUGCCCCUUCCCUUUCAUGACACUGUCAAAAAGGUACCAAGCAUGGAUGUCAUUACAAUUAUGCCCCCUCCUGGAAAAAUUCCUGCGGACGCCCAUGC